GAUGAACGCUGGCGGCGUGCCUAAUACAUGCAAGUCGAGCGAACAGACGAGGAGCUUGCUCCUCUGACGUUAGCGGCGGACGGGUGAGUAACACGUGGAUAACCUACCUAUAAGACUGGGAUAACUUCGGGAAACCGGAGCUAAUACCGGAUAAUAUAUUGAACCGCAUGGUUCAAUAGUGAAAGACGGUUUUGCUGUCACUUAUAGAUGGAUCCGCGCCGCAUUAGCUAGUUGGCAAGGUAACGGCUUACCAAGGCAACGAUGCGUAGCCGACCUGAGAGGGUGAUCGGCCACACUGGAACUGAGACACGGUCCAGACUCCUACGGGAGGCAGCAGUAGGGAAUCUUCCGCAAUGGGCGAAAGCCUGACGGAGCAACGCCGCGUGAGUGAUGAAGGUCUUCGGAUCGUAAAACCCUGUUAUUAGGGAAGAACAAAUGUGUAAGUAACUAUGCACGUCUUGACGGUACCUAAUCAGAAAGCCACGGCUAACUACGUG
rnacentral:rRNA from 1 species